rnacentral:lncRNA from 1 species
CAGCAGCAGGAGCAGGUCCUGCUAGGCUGUGAUGGAGAAGACGGUGGUUUCAAAGGGUUGUGCGGCGGGGUUGUUCGGCGGGGUUGUGCGGUGGGGAUUGCGCGGUGAAGGGAGCAGGUCUUCUCUAUUUUUUUUUUAUAAUGAUUUGGUAAUUAAAAUAGAUAAACAAGUCGAUUUUCUUCAUUUUUUUUAUAAAGAUCUGUAAUUGCAAGCAUAUUUUGACUAAUUGGAUUUGGUUUUCUUGAUUUUAUAAAAGUUUUUUCUUCGUUUGGAUAUGAUUUGUUAUUGUUUUUGACUUGUUGUAGAUCUAGAUUUUGCAAAAGGGGAUAGGAGACUACGGUUGCGUCGGCUGCGACUUUUGGCUUCUAGGGUUUGGGCGGAGAUUGCUUUUGACUGCUAGGGUUGGCGGCUGGGGUUUGGAAUAGACACCGUAGUAAACCAUAGUAUACCAUAUUACACCAUAGUAUACUAUGGUCUACUACAGACUGUGAAUAUAAAGAGGAUACCAUAGUACACCACAGUCUACUACAGACAUUGAACAUAUAGAGGAUGUGCGAUGAAGUGAAAUUUAAGUUUUAGAUGUCUACAAGCGAAGAUAGCGGCGACUACGAUGACUAUAGAUGACUAUAUUUAUUGAUAGAAGAA